UCGUCACAGGGCAGCAGGUCCAAUAGAGCUCCUCAGGGCCAGCCUGGGGAGCUCAGGGGCCGAGCGGGAUGAUGAGUGUCGGCGGCAAAGGAACCACACCAGAGCCGGGAGAUCAGUCAACGCCCAGGGCGCAGCCGGGUUCUCGACUUUAUUGGGAGGGGAAGAGCUUUUAUAGACACAGAAAGGGGGCUGUCCAGGGCGCAAGGGAACCGAGCCAACCAGCUGAAAGGUAAGGCAGGACACGAGCCGGGCACGCCCUCAAGGGCCUAUCACAGCCGAGGACACAUACUGUUCACGAAUACGGAAGUCUUCUGUCAGGCUAGGUACCUCCCCUGGGGGCCAUCUUGGAUUGUUGGAAACGCUGAGUCACUGGGAUGCGGAAGUGCGGCAAACUCGCGCAAAGGCUUAGCGGCCUUGUGGAGUGGAGGCUUAGCAACUUUGUUUCCUUUUUGAUUGGAGCCCCCCCUGCAACUUUCAUGGUACUUCUUGACUCUUCACAGGAAAGAUUCAAAGAAUCUCGGAUAUCAGAGGCAUAAGGGAAUCCCCAUUGAGGUCUUCCCAAUGGCUUAUGUCCCAGUGAGCCGAGCAGUGACCUGGAAGUUUGGGGGCGAGGUUCAGCUUCAAAUGGCUGUGCACAAGGCGGGUCCUGUGGUGACAGAUAAUGGGAAUUUUAUCCUGGACUGGAAGUUUGACUGUGCACACAAAUGGAGUGAAGUGAACAUUGCUAUCAAGAUGAUCCUAAGUAAUGCGUGGUGGACACAGGCCUGUUCAUCAACAUGGUGGAGAGAGUCUACUUCGGGAUGCAGGACGGCUCCGUGACCGUGCGGGAGAAGCCCUUCUGUUGACCCCACGAGGAGCAGAUGUGUUCACCUUGGUCUCCAGCCCACAGCCAGGGUGGCCGUGCCUGUCCAGGAGCUUUUGCCUUAAUGUAUGGGGGGGUGGGGUGGGGUGGGGUCUAAGCCCAGUCCUCUGCAGUAUUGUUACUAUGUGUCUUUUUAAACAGAGAAAUUUAAAGAUUUAUAUUUUUUACUAUGAAAAAUAUUGUUUUUUUUAUAAAGUAGAACUUGAUUUCAUGUUUUAUAUGAAACAUUUACCAAAAAAAGAAAGAAGAAUAGAGCAAGAAGGGGGAGACUGUCUUUAAAACCUUUGACUUGAGCCUGCUGGGUUUGCUGAGAAAUGAAUAUCAGAGCUUUUCUUGAAGCCGGUCACAUGAAGGACCUGGCCAGCAGUGAUCUCCUGAUGCCUUACAGCAUGCUUGGUUUACUUUUCUGCCACUCUCUUGUGUUUUUAGUUCGUCCUCAUUGUAAUCACGCACAAUGCAGUUACUUCUGAAGAUGAGGUUUACAAAGUCCGCUGAGUGGAACAGUGUGAUGUGUAGUGUUGGGAUUGGAAUGUAAACCCCCGGGGCAAAUGCGGUGGCACCUUCGCUAAGAUCAGGGCUUUGUUCAGAUCCCUGUUGUUGGAAGCAGUUGGCCGGAAAUACUUGCCAGUGCUGCCAGGGCACUGCUGUGAAAUGUGAAAUAGUUGUUUUUUUAAAUCAUUUUCUUUUUGUUGUUACUUAUUUUUCUGUUGCUUUAUUAUUACUGGCAUGGUUUGGCAUCAGAUGUCAUCACCUCUUUAUGUUCUUUGAAGGUUGGAAUAAACAGUGUGGUGCCAUUUUGA